UACGUAGGGGGCAAGCGUUGUCCGGAUUUAUUGGGCGUAAAGAGCGUGUAGGCGGCUUUACAGGUCCGUUGUGAAAACUCGAGGCUCAACCUCGAGACGCCGAUGGAAACCGUAAGGCUAGAGUCCGGAAGAGGAGAGUGGAAUUCCUGGUGUAGCGGUGAAAUGCGCAGAUAUCAGGAAGAACACCCGUGGCGAAGGCGGCUCUCUGGGACGGUACUGACGCUGAGACGCGAAAGCGUGGGGAGCGAACAGG
rnacentral:rRNA from 1 species